AGGACAGGACCUCAGUUGGACCAGGGAUUUUUUUUAUUUUUUUUUUAGGUCUGACCUGACGCAAAAGCCUAAUAAUGUAGACACCCUGUAUCCCUCUAAAUCACAUGUUACAGUUCACCUUGCAGUGAAAUGCUGAAUACAACAGGUGUAGUAGACCUUACAGUGAAAUGCUGAAUACAACAGGUGUAGUAGACCUUACAGUGAAAUGCUGAAUACAACAGGUGUAGUAGACCUUACAGUGAAAUGCUGAAUACAACAGGUGUAGUAGACCUUACAGUGAAAUGCUGAAUACAACAGGUGUAGUAGACCUCACAGUGAAAUGCUGAAUACAACAGGUGUAGUAGACCUCACAGUGAAAUGCUGAAUACAACAGGUGUAGUAGACCUUACAGUGAAAUGCUGAAUACAACAGGUGUAGUAGACCUCACAGUGAAAUGCUGAAUACAACAGGUGUAGUAGACCUCACAGUGAAAUGCUGAAUACAACAGGUGUAGUAGACCUUACAGUGAAAUGCUGAAUACAACAGGUGUAGUAGACCUUACAGUGAAAUGCUGAAUACAACAGGUGUAGUAGACCUUACAGUGAAAUGCUGAAUACAACAGGUGAAGUAGACCUUACAGUGAAAUGCUGAAUACAACAGGUGUAGUAGACCUUACAGUGAAAUGCUGAAUACAACAGGUGUAGUAGACCUUACAGUGAAAUGCUGAAUACAACAGGUGAAGUAGACCUUACAGUGAAAUGUUGAUACAGGGGGUACCGGUACAGAGUCAAUGUGGAGACUAUAUACAGGGGGUACCGGUACAGAGUCAAUGUGGAGGCUAUAUACAGGGGGUACCGGUACAGAGUCAAUGUGGAGAUUAUAUACAGGGGGUACCGGUACAGAGUCAAUGUGGAGACUAUAUACAGGGGGUACUGGUACAGAGUCAAUGUGGAGGCUAUAUACAGGGGGUACCGGUACAGAGUCAAUGUGGAGAUUAUAUACAGGGGGUACCGGUACAGAGUCAAUGUGGAGGCUAUAUACAGGGUGUUACGGUACAGAGUCAAUGUGGAGGCUAUAUACAGGGGGUACCGGUACAGAGUCAAUGUGGAGAUUAUAUACAGGGUGUUACGGUGACCAGGGUCCAUGAUGCUCCAUGACCAGGGUCCAUGAUGCUCCAUGACCAGGGUCCAUGAUGCUCCAUGCAUUAGACACACUACUACUCUGGAUGUGUCUGUACGUUAGGCGUUUGGAUACAACUAUGUCUACAUACUGUCACUAUGUCAACCCUGACUCCUCC